UAAACGACCCUCGGCAACGGAUAUCUCGGCUCACGCAUCGAUGAAGAACGUAGCAAAAUGCGAUACUUGGUGUGAAUUGCAGAAUCCCGUGAACCAUCGAGUUUUUGAACGCAAGUUGCGCCCGAAGCCUUUUGGCCGAGGGCACGUCUGCCUGGGCGUCACAC
rnacentral:rRNA from 2 species